CUUCGACCGCGGUCCGACGACACGACUCGUUUUCUACGACGACGACCGUAGUGUGUAGUGGGUAUUAUAGUAGGCACGUCUUGCGCCAUUCCGUCGUCUACACAUGGACGUGUCACACGUGUAGUUUGUGCCCGUGUAGCACACCGUAACGAAUCAACGCGCGCGCCGCGCCUUAUCGUUUUUUAAUUUUUUUUUUUUAUCGACGUAAUAAAAAGAAUUUUACGACAAAAAAUUCGUCGUCGUGCGAUACUACAAUAUUAUUUUGUCAUCAAUUUUAUGUAUAUUUAUAUAUAAAAAUACAUAUAUAUUUUUCAAUUUUUACGCGUGUUCUGUGUUUGUCUGAUAUUGUGUGCGGGAGGCUGCAAUAGUGCCGCGGCGAUAAAGGCUAUUCGCUGAUUCCGUCGUGUGUUUGCGCACCUAUACACGUACGCCGCGGUGUAUAUUAUAAUAAUAUAAAAUAAUCGACGACGAUCCCGCUCGGAGUACCGACGCCGGGAAUAUUGUGUACAAUUUUUAAAAAAUUUUAAAAAUAGAAAAACCGCGCGGCACAUGCGCCACGAGUUCUAUUAUUGUACGGACGCAGGUCGAAUUACUCGUAUUCGUGUAGUGGCGGGAGGGCGCAACUGUGGAAUUCAACACGACGACGGCAUAACCGUUCGUAUCUUCACUGCAGUGGCAACAGCAUACCGCCGGUGUCCCGCCGUUAUCAGUGCCGCGGCUGUUGUUAUCAGUGACGUUUGUUUUCGUUAAAUUUUUUAUUAUUGUUGCUCCCGUAUACUUGUACUCCGAAGUAGUAGGUCUCCCGUGGACCUAAGUAAAAUAUCGUCCCCCUGAAUAGGAAAUCGCGAGUAAAUAAUAUCGUACUCGCCAUUUUCUGCGGUCGGCCGGUGCUGACCGUAUCGCGUGUGCGUGCAGUGCGUGGAUGACCAGUCGUAGGCGGUCAAGUGCAUGAGGUGGACAGCGAUGGACAGUGCGUCUGGCGGUGGCGGCCGCGACAAUAGAUUCGGCAUGGGUUACGCGUCGAACAUGUCGCUGUUGGACCCGUCGGACAUUUACAACAACGGUGUUGGUGGUCAACAACAACGGCCGUCCACGUCUCGCACACCACCCAUGAUGGGAUGUGGUCCUGGCGGUCCGGUUCACCAGCGUGGCAUCAAGCGAACGAUGGGCCCUGGUACUAACAUGUGCUACGAACCCACCGACCACCAUCGGUUGGUUGACGACAAUUUUUCGCCACCUUCCGUCAAGGACGUAUCACCGUCAAAUGGCAAGAAAACCAAGGGCCGUGUAAAAAUAAAAAUGGAAUACAUUGAAAAUAAGUUGCGUAGAUACACAACGUUCUCUAAAAGGAAAACCGGCAUCAUGAAGAAGGCAUAUGAGUUGUCAACAUUAACAGGCACUCAAGUGAUGCUAUUAGUAGCAUCUGAAACGGGACAUGUAUAUACCUUUGCCACACGCAAGUUACAGCCGAUGAUUACUUCUGAAGCUGGCAAAGCACUAAUUCAAACAUGCUUAAAUUCACCAGACCCGUGUCCAUCCUCAUCAGGUGCUAACUCAGGGGAUCAACGCAUGUCAGCAACUGGAUUCGAGGAGACUGAUCUGUCUUACAACAUUGGCGAUGACCACGAUUCCAAAGAAACCGACGGGAUGAGUUCUAGAGCGUCGGACAGCGGCGCGGAGUCUAGCGGAUCGGAAUCACCACCCCCCGCAGCAGCCGGUCCAGCCACGCGGUCACCGCCGUCGCCGUCGCCGCCGACGUCCUCCUCGGCAGCGGCAGCAGCAGCAGCAGCCGUCGCGUCUCCCGGGAUUUUCAGAUUGUCGUCGAGCAACGCAGAGUUGGUGUACUCAAACCUAGCAGCCAUGGUCAAUUCGUCUGGUGCUUCCGGUCCACAGCAGCAGGCAGCCGUCCUGUUCCGAUUGGGGCAACUAGGCCGGCAGCUUCAGGCAUCCGGACAACAACCGUUCAUACUGCCGAUGCCGAAUCCGCCAGCGGCGCACCAAACGCCCGCCGAUCUCAGCAGCAAGUCGUCGCGGAAUAAAUCAGAACUCUGAAAUCCUUAUAGGCGGCCGGCGUCUAUGUAACGUCCAAAGUACAUGAUAUUAUAAUAAUAUGUACCUAAAUAUACAUGUGCACGCCCGCAAUAGCGUCUUACAAAAUAUUUUUAUGUUUAUUAUUAUUAUUAUUGUUACGAUAUGUUAUAUAGAUAUUUUUCACAAAACUUUUCGGCAUUGAUCCUUUUUGCAUAUGUGAAUCUUUGUAGUAUGUAGGUACUUAUAGAUAUCGCCUCUUCUGGCUGUAUUUAUACUAUGCGUAUUAACUUGUCUUUUCCGUUUCCGCUUCGAGUACAAUUGUCGCCGUGGGGCUUUACAUAUCUGUCCCAAACUCCCAAAUGCAUUUGGAAUAAUGAAGUAAGAAUAAUGAAGAUAUAAUCACCAUCGUUAUGAAAAAUGUUUUCCAAAAGAACCAUCUUAAGCAUAAUUUAGUUUUUAUCACGAAAUUCAAGUUUUUUUUAACCUUAACGAUGUUUUCCGGUCAGCAUAACGCAUAAGCACAGUUUUACGUGGACGCGUUACUGCAUUCUACAAUUAAUCAUUUAUGUAUACUUUUAGUAUUUUAUUGUUUUUAUUUGAUUUUGAGUUUAACAUCAUAUUAUAUAAAAAAAAUGUCUUCGACAAAAAUUCGUUGAAUAACAUUUUUUACGUAUACGAAUUAAUUAAAAAUAUAUAUAUAUAUAUAACGCUAUAUCAUAUAUACAAUAUAUCGAGAUUAUAAAUACUAAAAAUAAUAUUAUUAUGUACAGACGUACACUGCAUAAACAUUAUGAAAACUGCAUGUAAUUUGUAUGUGCGUUAAUUUUAAAGUUGUCAUUCAGAAUUAAUCGUUCUUUCCAGUUGUUUCUUGACCCCCGAUAUGACGUCAUAUCUCGCGAUAAAACUGUCAACUAAUUUUUCACAUAUGUAUCAGUGAUAAUAUUAUUAUUCGUGAUAUUAUUCUAAAACAAUAUUUUUUCAAAUUUUAGUUUUGCUUAUUAAAAUAAAUUAUAUAUUUUAUUUCAUUCAUACGAAUUACAUAUUAUUAUAUAUUUAAAAACUUCUUUUGAUCUAUUUCAGUCUUAUCUGCUAUUUUGAAUUUUCUAUAUAGGUACAUAUAGUUUGGCGAUUUUAAAAUAAUUUUGUGAUAUAUUUCCAUCACUUAAUUUUUUUUUUAAAUUUGCUAGGUAUCCUAUAAAUAGUUUAAUAUAAAAAAUCAAAAUAUUUUUUAUAAAUCUAUCAUUGUAACACUUUUUAUAAUUUUGUUAGUUAUGCAUUGCGAAUAGACUAAAUACUAUAAUCUACUUAAAUAAUAAACAAUGAAACAAUCACAACGUAAUUUUUGGAGUUAAAUUGGAUCAAUUUUACCUAAUAAAAAAUUCUACGUCAACAUCAAAUACAGUGUCUGACUAAAAUUACAUAAUUAUUGUUACGUAGUUAUCUACAUUUAUUUUGAAUUUUAACCAUCUGAAAAAAUUAAUAAAUAUUCCAUACUAUAAUCGACACUUAUAAGUUGUUCCUUUUUAUCUACCUCUUCCAUCUAAUUUUGUUCGUAA
rnacentral:misc_RNA from 1 species